AUGAAGCGGAAUAAGCAGUCGAUGUUUAGUACCGAGACGUUACAUAAGAACUGGAAGGGAAUCGAGAACAGUAACAUGCGGAAGGAGAAGGACCACAAGACGGCAGACGCGACCUCGGCGAUGAUUCACCAGACUCCGGCUGUCUCCGGAACUUCCGGCCAGAACGUAACCCUGCGUUGCACAGUGGACGGUAUUACCAGUGAUACUGACUGGUUGUACUGUUUCAUCACUGAGAGAAUAAACACUCCAAGGAAGAUGCUUUUCUUUCUGCGGUUUCUCCUCGCCUUCCACUACGCGACCUCAGUGACGAUCCACCAGACUCCGGGUUUCUCCGGAACCCCCGGCCAGAAGGUGACCCUGAAUUGCACAGUAGAGGGUAGUACCAGUGCUAACAACUGGUUGUACUGGUACCGACAAUUCCCGGGAAAGGGACCGGAGUACAUGUUUCACUCGAUUGCAGCUAAUUACGUGCAGCCGGAGAAAUUGGUCGGCGGUUUUACUGCGGAGAGACCGAAGACCAACGAAAUCUUCCUGAAGUCUGACAAACUGGAGGCGAAAUCGUCGGCCCUAUAUAUCUGUGCGUGGAAAUACGAAGAAUACAGGACGGAUCGGGAACAGAGGAAACACGGGGCCUAA